rnacentral:rRNA from 1 species
UGGGGAAUCGUUCCGCAAUGGACGAAAGUCUGACGGAGCAACGCCGCGUGAGUGAAGAAGGUUUUCGGAUCGUAAAACUCUGUCUUUUGGGGCGAACGUGAGUAUGGCGAACAAUCAUAGUCAGUGACGGUACCAAAGGAGGAAGCCACGGCUAACUACGUGCCAGCAGCCGCGGUAAUACGUAGGUGGCAAGCGUUGUCCGGAAUUAUUGGGCGUAAAGAGCGCGUAGGCGGGAUAGUCAGUCUGUUGUAAAAGUGCGGGGCUCAACCCCGUGAUGGCAGUGGAAACAGCUACUCUUGAGUGCAGGAGAGGAAAGUGGAAUUCCCAGUGUAGCGGUGAAAUGCGUAGAUAUUGGGAGGAACACCAGUGGCGAAGGCGACUUUCUGGACUGUGUCUGACGCUGAGGCGCGAAAGCCAGGGGAGCGAACGGGAUUAGAUACCCCGGUAGUCCUGGCCGUAAACGAUGGGUACUAGGUGUGGGGGGUAUCGACCCCUUCCGUGCCGGAGUUAACGCAAUAAGUACCCCGCCUGGGGAGUACGGUCGCAAGACUGAAACUCAAAGGAAUUGACGGGGUCAUAGCUGUUUCCUG